CACGGGGGGGAGCAAGCGUUGUUCGGAAUCACUGGGCGUAAAGGGCGUGUAGGCGGUCAGGUAAGUGGAAUGUGAAAUCCCUCGGCUCACCCGAGGACCUGCAUCCCAAACUGCCUGGCUUGAGUAUGGGAGAGGAUGAGGGAAUUCCUGGUGUAGCGGUGAAAUGCGUAGAUAUCAGGAGGAACACCGGUGGCGAAGGCGCUCAUCUGGCCCAAUACUGACGCUGAGGCGCGAAAGCUAGGGGGAGCAAAACGGG
rnacentral:rRNA from 1 species